UACGAAGGGGGGCUAGCGUUGCUCGGAAUUACUGGGCGUAAAGGGCGCGUAGGCGGAUAGUUUAGUCAGAGGUGAAAGCCCAGGGCUCAACCCUGGAAUUGCCUUUGAUACUGGCUAUCUUGAGUUCGGGAGAGGUGAGUGGAACUCCGAGGUGUAGAGGUGAAAUUCGUAGAUAUUCGGAAGAACACCAGUGGGCGAAGGCGACUCACUGGCCCGAUACUGACGCUGAGGCGCGAAAGGCGUGGGGAGCAAACAGG
rnacentral:rRNA from 1 species